UCUCCUGCAGAAAGGAACAAGGGGAGAAAACAGUUGGAAAGAGGUAAAAAAAAUGGAGAGAAAAAAAGAAUGUGUCUAUACACACACACACACACACACGUGUGUAUGUGUGUGUGUCGACACAUAAAAAACUAUAUAUCAUACAACUAAGUGGACAGGCACAAUGAUACUUGAAUCUGUUGGCCAUAAAAACAGCGUAACACUUGCAGAUCAUAUUUCAAAUGUGGGUGUUUCACAGAGAAGGUUAACGUUCUGUCAAUUUGGACAGCUAUGUGUAUGUAAGAUAUUCUACCAAACCAUGGAAAUGAUGUAGAGUGGGCUUGGUGAUGGUCAUAUCUGGAAAGGGAUGGGUUCUGUCAUGCCUAAAAAUGCCCAAAAUAUGCUGGGUGUCAUGAUGGCAUCUCUAUGACGCUGUUAGGCCUUGAGGGCACAGAGCCAAGAGAAACAAACAAACAUGUUGCUAUUUAAAGAAGAAGCAAAACAGAUUUUUAAGAUUGUGGAAGUAGUGAGAUUGCUUUGAGCUG